rnacentral:rRNA from 1 species
ACGCGAAGAACCUUACCUGGGUUUGACAUGCACAGGACGUACCUAGAGAUAGGUAUUCCCUUGUGGCCUGUGUGCAGGUGGUGCAUGGCUGUCGUCAGCUCGUGUCGUGAGAUGUUGGGUUAAGUCCCGCAACGAGCGCAACCCUUGUCCUAUGUUGCCAGCGGGUAAUGCCGGGGACUCGUAGGAGACUGCCGGGGUCAACUCGGAGGAAGGUGGGUUGGACGUCAAGUCAUCAUGCCCCUUAUGUCCAGGGCUUCACACAUGCUACAAUGGCCAGUACAGAGGGCUGCGUGCCGCAAGGUGGAGCGAAUCCCUUAAAGCUGGUCUCAGUUCUGAUUGGGGUCUGCAACUCGACCCCAUGAAGUCGGAGUCGCUAGUAUC